rnacentral:rRNA from 1 species
UACGUAGGGGGCUAGCGUUGUCCGGAAUCAUUGGGCGUAAAGAGCGCGUAGGCGGCCAGAUAAGUCCGGUGUGAAAGUCACAGGCUCAACCUGUGAAUGCCGCUGGAAACUGUCUGGCUUGAGUCCGGGAGGGGCGAGUGGAAUUCCUGGUGUAGCGGUGGAAUGCGCAGAUAUCAGGAGGAACACCAAUAGCGAAGGCAGCUCGCUGGGACGGUACUGACGCUGAGGAGCGAAAGCCAGGGGAGCAAACGGG